UUUUCGAAUGUGUAUGUACUAGUUUAAUUUUCGAGUUGCAACAACCCUUUCUCCAAGUUUCGCCUGUAACACACCACAAUUCAACUGCAUACCACCGACCGGCCGUAUUUGUUAAUACAGUCUAAUUCCCCUUUGUUUCGUUGGAUUCCUUCGCAGUUCUUAAAAUGACAAAAAGAGGACGACCAACAAAUUCACAACAAUCCCAGCAAGAGGAGAUGCAAUUGUGUAUGAGGACAACUAAAAACAAACGGUGCAGAGUGAGUUCCUUUCGUUGGAACCGUUCAAAGCUGCCAGCCCGGUCAUUAUAGACACUUGGUGCUCUUACUUGAAUAACAUGGAGAAGCUGAAGGCACCAGAUAGUAGUUGUCAUUAUUUUGAUUGUUGUAGGAAAUACGAACUAUCAACGGGCUGAUGAGUACUUCAAUGAGUUAACCGCACAGUUAUUAGAG